UUCCUACUCCCUCCGUCCGAAAAUACUUGUCAUCAAAAUGGAUAAAAAGGGAUGUAUCUAGAACUAAAAUACGUCUAGAUACAUCUCCUUUUAUCUAUUUUGAUGACAAGUAUUUCCGGACGGACGGAGUACGUA
rfam:Triticum aestivum genome assembly, contig: Triticum_aestivum_CS42_TGACv1_scaffold_344258_4DL